rnacentral:rRNA from 1 species
GAGAGGGAGCCUGAGAAACGGCUACCACAUCCAAGGAAGGCAGCAGGCGCGCAAAUUACCCACUCCCGGCACGGGGAGGUAGUGACGAAAAAUAACGAUACGGGACUCAUCCGAGGCCCCGUAAUCGGAAUGAGUACACUCUAAACCCUUUAACGAGGAUCAAUUGGAGGGCAAGUCUGGUGCCAGCAGCCGCGGUAAUUCCAGCUCCAAUAGCGUAUAUUAAAGUUGUUGCGGUUAAAAAGCUCGUAGUCGAAUUUGUGUCUCGCGCCGUCGGUUCAUCGUCCGCGGUGUUAACUGGCGUGAAGCGAGACGUCCUGCCGGUGGAUUUAGCCGUUGGCCGAUUUCGAUUCGCGGGAGCUUCGGCGAACGCGCGUUGGCGGUCCAGCGGCGGUCCAACUCAAUCCUGCCGCGGUGCUCUUCACUGAGUGUCGAGGUGGGCCGGCACGUUUACUUUGAACAAAUUAGAGUGCUUAAAGCAGGCUAAAAUUUCGCCUGAAUAUUGUGUGCAUGGAAUAAUGGAAUAGGACCUCGGUUCUAUUUUGUUGGUUUUCGGAACCCCGAGGUAAUGAUUAAUAGGAACGGAUGGGGGCAUUCGUAUUGCGACGUUAGAGGUGAAAUUCUUGGAUCGUCGCAAGACGAACGGAAGCGAAAGCAUUUGCCAAAAACGCUUUCAUUGAUCAAGAACGAAAGUUAGAGGUUCGAAGGCGAUCAGAUACCGCCCUAGUUCUAACCAUAAACGAUGCCAGCUAGCGAUCCGUCGACGUUCCUCCGAUGACUCGACGGGCAGCUUCCGGGAAACCAAAGCUUUUGGGUUCCGGGGGAAGUAUGGUUGCAAAGCUGAAACUUAAAGGAAUUGACGGAAGGGCACCACCAGGAGUGGAGCCUGCGGCUUAAUUUGACUCAACACGGGAAACCUCACCAGGCCCGGACACCGGAAGGAUUGACAGAUUGAGAGCUCUUUCUUGAUUCGGUGGGUGGUGGUGCAUGGCCGUUCUUAGUUGGUGGAGCGAUUUGUCUGGUUAAUUCCGAUAACGAACGAGACUCUAGCCUGCUAACUAGGCGCUAAUUUUGACAUCGCAAAGGCCCGCCGGCCGUCGUUUCGGGAGCCCCGUGCGUUCACGCGUAUCGGGUCUUUUCGUUUGCGGCGCGUCGCGCGCGGUUUUUACUGUCGGCGUACAAACAUAUCUUCUUAGAGGGACAGGCGGCUUCUAGCCGCACGAGAUUGAGCAAUAACAGGUCUGUGAUGCC